GAUUUUUCAAAUUUACAUCACUGCUGCUGUCAGAUUCUGUUUUAUGGCAGAUUUCACUUUACUAAGGAUUUUCAUGGACUAAAUAGCAUUUUAAACAUACAUAACAUCAAAUAUGACUUAGAUUGGCCAUUCCAAUGGCUAAUCAUUUACAAACCCUUUUCUUUCCAAAACAUAGCCAUAUCAUAAGAUCAUUUACACAAAGUGAGUAUUUUCCCAUACAUGCCACAUUCAAAACACACAAGCCAUUUUACCAAUUUAGGCCUUCGGAUAGUGUGAACGAGUCUUCGACCUAUCCCAAUUCUCAAGCCGGCUUGUUAAAACUACAAUGAACGAAAAGGAGGGAGUAAGCAUAAAUGCUUAGUAAGUUCAUAUGCAAAUAACAAGUAACAUAACCAUACAAUUAUACCAAACAACCUUAGCAUGGUAUCACCAAAACAUAUAUCACAUUUUUAAACAUCAUUCAUCAUCUUACCACCUUAUCGUUGUUGUAUCUAUUUUCAACCCGAGGGUUAAGUACAUACUUGUCCAAAGUGUCCAUUUCACAACACUUACCAAAACGUCACUUGCAUCUUAAGUAUUCUUCCAUUUCACUAGAAAUUUUACCCGUUGAACACAUCGGAAUAUAAUUCGGAUACAUGGAUAAUUUGCACAUAAGUGCCACAUUUGUAGCCAAGCUACCCUGUAACCCGCCCAUAAGUGAACUCGGACUCAACUCAACGAGCUCGGGCAUUCGCAUCCAUAAGUGAACUCAGACUCAACUCAACGAGUUCGGAUGCCUAGUUACAUCUCACGAACUCGGACUCAACUCAACGAGUUCGGACAUUCCACAUCCAUAAGUGAACUCGGACUCAACUCAACGAGUUCGGAUGCUCAACCAUCCUAGUGACAUGUCACUUAUAUCCUAAUCUAUUCCUAAGGUUCAAACGGGAUUUUCCUCGAACACGUCUCCUUGCCAUCUUCCGUAAAAUACCGAAACCAAUACUCGGUAGCACUUUAUAUUUAACAAAUAAUACACUUAAUUUGCAUUUUAUUCGAAAAUAACCACAAAGCAUAUAUUUCAUGAUAAGAAUCAGCAUAUCCUAUAUUUAACAUCAAUAACUUAAAAAUAACAAUUAUGCUACAUUAUUUACACAUGAACUUACCUCGGUACAAAAUUUUUAACAAUCGAGCCUAUUCCUCGUAAACUUUGUUUUUCCCCCGAUCACGACUUGAAUCUCGUUUCUCUUGAUCUAUAAUACCAAAUUAAUCUUAUUUAAUACAUACAUUCAUUAAAAUAGUCCUUAAUACGAACUUUGGAAAAUUAUCAUUUUACCCCUAAACUUUUGCAUAAUUACACUUUUGCCCCUAGGCUCGGGAAUUAAACUUCAUCCCUUAUUAUUAUGUUUUAUGACAUGCUGAUCAUUUUUCCCUUCUAUGGCAACAUCAAAUUCUCACUCUAACAUGUAUUUAUAACUACUAAAUAUUUUUUUACCGAUUAAGCCUUUUUACUCGUUUUCACUCAAAACCAAGUAGCACAAGUUGUCAAACAAAAUUUAAAACCUCAUAUUCUGUCAUAAAACACCAAAAUACACAAAUUUCACCUAUGGGUAUUUUUCCAAAUAUGAACCAUAGGUUGAAUUAUUGUUAACAUAAGCUAAAUCGAGCUACCGUGAUUUCAAAAACAUAAAAAUCAUUAAAAACGGGGCUUGAAAUCACUUACUAUGAAGUUCGAAAGUUGAAGAAACCCCAGCUAUGGAGGAGAGCAAAAAUC
rnacentral:lncRNA from 1 species